GGGGUGGAGGAGGUUGAGGAGGUUGGAGGAGGUUGGGAUGGGUUGGAGGACCUCAACCUUUGAGAACAUGGCUUGGAGGACCUCGAGGAGGUUGGAGGAGAAGAGUUGGAGGAGGUUGGAGGAGGUGGGGAUGGGUUGGAGGACCUCAAGGAGGUUGGAGGAGAAGAGGUGGAGGAGAUCGAGGAGGUUGGAGGACAUGAGGAUGAGUUGGAGGACCUCAAAGAGGUUGGAGGAGAAGAGUUGGAGGACCUCAAGGAGGGUUGAGGACAUGGGGUGGAGGUCAAGGAGGUUGGAGGAGGUCGGGAUGGGUUGGAGGACCUCAAGCGUUGAGAACAUGGCUUGGAAGACCUCGAGAAGGUUGGAGGAUGUGGGGUGGAGGACCUCAAGGAGGGUGAAGGACAAGAGUUGGAGGAGGUUGAGGAGGUUGGAGGAGGUAGAGAUGGGUUGGAGGACAUCAACGUUUGAGAACAUGGCUUGGAGGACCUCGAAGAGGUUGGAGGAGAAGAGUUGGAGGAGGUUGGAGGAGGUGGAGAUGGGUUGGAGGACCUCAAGGAGGGUGGAAGAUAUGGGGUGGAGGAGGUGUAGGAGGUUGGAGGAGGUUGGGAUGGGUUGGAGGACCUCAACGGGGUUUGAGGACAUGGGUUGGAGGACCUCGAGGAGGUUGGAAGAGGUUGGGAUGGGUUGGAGGACGUCAAGGUUGGAGGAUGUGGGGUGGAG
rnacentral:lncRNA from 1 species